rnacentral:rRNA from 1 species
GUGGGGAAUUUUGGACAAUGGGCGCAAGCCUGAUCCAGCAAUGCCGCGUGCAGGAAGAAGGCCUUCGGGUUGUAAACUGCUUUUGUACGGAACGAAACGGCUCUGGUUAAUACCCGGGGCUAAUGACGGUACCGUAAGAAUAAGCACCGGCUAACUACGUGCCAGCAGCCGCGGUAAUACGUAGGGUGCAAGCGUUAAUCGGAAUUACUGGGCGUAAAGCGUGCGCAGGCGGUUUUGUAAGACAGGCGUGAAAUCCCCGGGCUCAACCGGGGAAUGGCGCUUGUGACUGCAAAGCUGGAGUGCGGCAGAGGGGGAUGGAAUUCCGCGUGUAGCAGUGAAAUGCGUAGAUAUGCGGAGGAACACCGAUGGCGAAGGCAAUCCCCUGGGCCUGCACUGACGCUCAUGCACGAAAGCGUGGGGAGCAAACAGGAUUAGAUACCCGGGUAGUCC